CUUGUCUUUGUAUGUAUGUGUUGUGUGUGUAUGUCUUUGUAUGUAUGUGUGUCUUAUGUAUGUGUCUUUGCAUGUGUGUAUGUGUCUAUGUAUGUCGUAGGUGAUUGUAUUUGUAUGUGUGUGUCUGUAUGUAUGUGUACCUGUCUGUUUGUAUGUAUGUGUCUUGUGUCUGUGUGUUUCUGUAUGUAUGUGUGCCUGUCUGUGUCUG